CCUACGGGUGGCUGCAGUGGGGAAUAUUGGACAAUGGGGGGAACCCUGAUCCAGCCAUGCCGCGUGUGUGAAGAAGGCCCUCGGGUUGUAAAGCACUUUCAGUGAGGAAGAACGCCUGGUGGUUAAUACCCAUCAGGAAAGACAUCACUCACAGAAGAAGCACCGGCUAACUCCGUGCCAGCAGCCGCGGUAAUACGGAGGUUGCGAGCGUUAAUCGGAAUUACUGGGCGUAAAGCGCGCGUAGGUGGCUUGAUAAGCCGGUUGUGAAAGCCCCGGGCUCAACCUGGGAACGGCAUCCGGAACUGUCAAGCUAGAGUGCAGGAGAGGAAGGUAGAAUUCCCGGUGUAGCGGUGAAAUGCGUAGAGAUCGGGAGGAAUACCAGUGGCGAAGGCGGCCUUCUGGACUGACACUGACACUGAGGUGCGAAAGCGUGGGUAGCAAACAGGAUUAGAUACCCCAGUAGUC
rnacentral:rRNA from 1 species